UGAAAUGGUAGUUUUCGCAACGGGUUUGCCGCCAGAACACAGGUGUUGUGAAAACCGCCCAUACAAUCCAAAAUGGGGAAGGAAAAGACUCAUAUCAACAUCGUCGUCAUUGGACACGUAGAUUCGGGCAAGUCCACCACUACCGGACAUCUGAUCUACAAAUGUGGUGGCAUUGACAAGAGAACCAUUGAAAAAUUUGAGAAGGAGGCAGCUGAGAUGGGAAAGGGCUCCUUCAAGCAUGCCUGGGUCUUGGAUAAACUGAAGGCUGAGCGUGAGCGUGGUAUCACCAUUGACAUCUCCCUGUGGAAAUUUGAGACCAGCAAAUACUAUGUGACUAUCAUUGAUGCCCCAGGACACAGAGACUUUAUCAAAAACAUGAUUACAGGCACAUCUCAGGCUGACUGUGCUGUCCUGAUUGUUGCCGCUGGUGUUGGUGAAUUUGAAGCUGGUAUUUCAAAGAAUGGGCAGACCCGUGAGCAUGCCCUUCUGGCUUACACACUGGGUGUGAAGCAACUAAUUGUUGGUGUUAACAAGAUGGAUUCCACUGAACCACCCUACAGCCAGAAGAGAUACGAGGAAAUCGUUAAAGAAGUCAGCACUUACAUUAAGAAAAUUGGCUACAACCCUGACACAGUAGCAUUUGUGCCAAUU